UACUUCAUGUAAUUAACUAUCAUGUUGUUAUAUUUGGAUUCCUUAUUGUGUUCAUGGAAUUUGUGGUACUUGUUUAUAUGAUUUUUAUGGAAGUAUAAUAAAUAAUGGCUGUGAAAAUUUAGGAAAGUGUUAUACCAUCUUGAAUAUAAACAUUAAAGUUAAGUGGUCUGAUUUCAGUUUUCUAAUUAUAGUUUAUGCUUAAAAAUGGAACUUUGUGGAUGCCUUCAAUUUUUAAACAUGUUCUAACCAUCUACAAAGAAGUACUGACUUGUCGGGAACUAAGGAUGCUACAUAUUGUUACACUAACAAUUUGACAGUAAGAUUUAUAUUGUUUCUCUGUAGCAUGUUAAUAUAUUUUGCCUCCAUCAUCCCCAAACCUUCCCUUUAUAUACCCUACAAAGGGCCGGGGAUUUAGCUCAGUGGUUCCAGCGCCUGCCUCACAAGCGCAAGGUCCCGAGUUCAAUGCCCGGUACCAAAAAAAACCCAACAUACAUAUAUGCCCUACAAAGUCUAUUCAGAUAGACUCAGUGUCUGGUUUUGCUUUUGUUUAUAACAUGAACAUGCCAUGAUGCAAUAUAAAAAAUGAUAAUGACUGUAUGACAUGAAUUGGUUGGGCCGGAGAUUUAGCUUAGUGGUUCCACCACAUGCCUCGAAACCGCAAGGUCCCGAGUUCAAUCCCCAGUACCAAAAAAAAAAAAAAGACAUGAAUUUUUUGAGGUGAGACCAUCAGGCCCUGGGGGCUCCAUCAGUCUUGAGCGUUUGGAGAGACUGAGAAUCUCAGCACAUCUGUAAGAUAGUGCAAACUGUGCCUGCAGCAAGCAGGUUGUGUGGCUCUGACAGAACAUGCCCAACAGGUAUCUUUUAAUAUUGAUAAAAGUGAUUGAUAGCAUGUUGAGAUAAAUUGAUAAUUUUAUUUUAUAAUUUUGCUAGUUUGAAUUGGUAAUGAUAUAGCUAGUAUUUUAAUUAGUUUGAUUUAACGUAUGUUUACAGAUUGGAUCUGGUUCCUCUCGUCUUGGAACAGCAGCAACUAUUAAAGGGGAUACAGAUACUGCUAAGACUUCUGAUGAUAUCAGUUUAAGUCUGGGCCAGAGCUCCAGUCUCUGUAAAGAAGGAAGCGAGGAGCAAGGUAAGAACUUUGUGCUUCACAGUGACACUGUAUAUUGUGGUGACCAGAGUGAAUCUGUGGAAUAUGUCACUCACAUUUUGAGAGAAAUUUAAUAUAGUUACUUUUAGGAAACAUUAAAAUGUCUUAUUGGUAUAAUAGCUUCAAAAGUACUUUUACUGAAUUCAGUUAUAUAUGUUCUGGCAAAUAAACAUGGAGA
rnacentral:lncRNA from 1 species